AUUUGAAAUCUGGCGUCUUUGGCGUCCGAGUUGUAAUUUGCAGAGGGCGCUUUGGCAUUGGCAGCGGUCCAAGUUCCUUGGAACAGGACGUCACAGAGGGUGAGAAUCCCGUACGUGGUCGCUAGCCUUUACCGUGUAAAGCCCCUUCGACGAGUCGAGUUGUUUGGGAAUGCAGCUCUAAAUGGGAGGUAAAUUUCUUCUAAAGCUAAAUACUGGCCAGAGACCGAUAGCGCACAAGUAGAGUGAUCGAAAGAUGAAAAGCACUUUGGAAAGAGAGUUAAAAAGCACGUGAAAUUGUUGAAAGGGAAGCGCUUGCAGCCAGACUUGCCUGUAGUUGCUCAUCCGGGUUUUUACCCGGUGCACUCUUCUAUAGGCAGGCCAGCAUCAGUUUGGGCGGUUGGAUAAAGGUCUCUGUCAUGUACCUCUCUUCGGGGAGAACUUAUAGGGGAGACGACAUGCAACCAGCCUGGACUGAGGUCCGCGCAUCUGCUAGGAUGCUGGCGUAAUGGCUGUAAGCGGCCCGUCUUGAAACACGGACCAAGGAGUCUAACAUCUAUGCGAGUGUUUGGGUGUCAAGCCCGAGCGCGUAAUGAAAGUGAACGGAGGUGGGAACCUUUCGGGGUGCACCAUCGACCGAUCCUGAUGUCUUCGGAUGGAUUUGAGUAAGAGCAUAGCUGUUGGGACCCGAAAGAUGGUGAACUAUGCUUGAAUAGGGUGAAGCCAGAGGAAACUCUGGUGGAGGCUCGCAGCGGUUCUGACGUGCAAAUCGAUCGUCAAAUUUGGGCAUAGGGGCGAAAGACUAAUCGAA
rnacentral:rRNA from 3 species